rnacentral:rRNA from 1 species
GUGGGGGAUAUUGCGCAAUGGGGGAAACCCUGACGCAGCAACGCCGCGUGAAGGAAGAAGGUCUUCGGAUUGUAAACUUUUGUCUUGUGGGACGAAUCAAUGACGGUACCACAGGAGGAAGCCACGGCUAACUACGUGCCAGCAGCCGCGGUAAUACGUAGGUGGCGAGCGUUGUCCGGAAUUACUGGGUGUAAAGGGUGCGUAGGCGGGGAUGCAAGUCAGAUGUGAAAUCUAUCGGCUUAACUGGUAAACUGCAUUUGAAACUGCAUUUCUUGAGUGGUGGAGAGGUAAGCGGAAUUCCUAGUGUAGCGGUGAAAUGCGUAGAUAUUAGGAGGAACACCAGUGGCGAAGGCGGCUUACUGGACACUAACUGACGCUGAGGCACGAAAGCAUGGGGAGCAAACAGGA